rnacentral:misc_RNA from 1 species
AAGUGCGACUGCGAAAAAGGAAUUACGACCUGCGCUGCUUGUCGUACACACGAGCACACGCACUUCUCUGUUUUGGCAGGUGGUGAGAGGCUCCCCUGACCACCUGCCCGCGCUUGUCCAGAAACGCGUGAGGUUGCUUCUGCAUACGUUGGUGAGACCGCCGUCUGUCCUCCUCAAUGGUCUGCCUCGUCUAGCCCCCACGAUCUCACCCCCUCCUUUUUCUUCUUUUUUUUUGCGUUGUGUCUCCCUCGUUUUACUGGUGAGCGGCCGAUAUCAAUCAUUGCGGGCCCCAUUCCCUCGUCCUUUUCUCGGCUGCGCCGUCGUCGCUGUUCCUGCCGUGCACCUGUCGACGGACUUGGCAGCGCCACAGUCCACGAUUGCCGCCUUCUAUCUAUCCCGUUGGCUCUCCUAGCCCACCCCUCCUUCGCCUCGCUUUUCAUUGGCCGGGUUGCUUUGGCGCGUGUCGGUGUCUGCGUGUACUCGCGCUGCUUUCUUGUUCGUGUGCUGGUAUCGUGCUGAAUAGUCGUCGCCGGCCACCGGUCGAAGAAUGAACUCCGACACACCGUCACCACCCUGCUCGUCAGUGCCGCUUGAGGGUCGCGUGACAGCAGCCGCAUCGCAGCCGAUGCAUGCCGCCCGACCGCGCUGGUCGCACGAUGAUGAUGAUAGCGUGAGUGUCGUGCAGAGCACACACGACUACACGCAACGCAUCUUCAAGACCAAACCUCAAAGUGCGCGGUGGGUGCGCGGGUUGACGGAAGAUGGUCAGGAGGACGACCGCACCAUUGGCUUCCGGAGGCGCCGAGCAAACAUGAACCGGUGGGAGGAGCUCGACGACACCCCCAAUGAUGUUUUGCAAGGAACUGCACACGCGGAAAGGUGGCGUAGCCACUGGUUGUUUUACCCCAAUAUGCUUGCCAUCGUCUAUUUGUGCUUGAUCGUCGCGCGUAUGAUGAAGGGGCUCCAUCGUUCUUACCGGCUCGAUUACCCCACCACGCCGUGGCAGCUCGAGCUGUACGGGCGCCGGUACGGCGAGAACGGCGUCUCCUUCUUGAUGCGCGUCUGCGUACCACUGGCUGUCCCGCAUGCCGUCGGGGCAGCGUACACGCUGACUCUGACCUACACCAUUGGUGGAGCAGCGCGCCAAUUUAUCGCGUUGUGCGGCGUUGGCUUGUCGCUGCUGUCCGUGGGCGCGUUAUUCACGCAGAGCUCGUUGCUCUUCGCCUGCUGCGGCCUCUCUCCAUAUAGUCACCGGUGGGAAUGCGACCUGCCAUUUGCCCUCCACCACGUCUGCAGCGUCAUUCGGGUGUUGUGCCCGCUGCUGGCGGUGUGGUGUGUGUCUCCCGUGCUGGACCAGCUGUGGGGCUGCGGCUACCGGUGGCGGUGCGUGCUCGCUGUGCCGUGUGUGAUGGCCCUAGCGUGCCUGGUCAGUUCCGUGUACGAUGAGGUGCCCUCGCAGGCGAUGCUGGACUUGGCACACAUGUCAGUACUGCUUGCCUGGCCUCUCUUCGUGAAGGCAUGCUGGAGGCUAAAGCCUUUUGCAGCGGUGCCAAAGACGGAGAAGCUGCACGAGAAGUAAGAACUUCAAAAGAUGACGCUUGUACGAGUGAGGGCAAACAAAACGCCGACGCGAAGGCUCAAACGUAAACAUAACGCGACCGGUAGCGGAGAGGGAGGCGUGUGACUGUGUGCGUGUGCCGAGAAAGAGAUCCGCUACUGUAGUGGCGAAACGGCUGACUCUCACUCGCGUCGCCAGUGCUCAGCAGUCAUCUCUUUCUCUCCUCCACUCCCUCUCCCGUCCCUCUGCGCAUGAAUGUGCCUGUGUGCUCGGCUGAUGUCUCUCUCUCGCCCUCGUUGUUGUGCGUUGAUUCGAUCAUCACCUACCCACCCCUUCUCUCCGGUCUACUCUUUGCGUCGGUGGUCGUGUGUCCCCACAACCCCACGUAC